rnacentral:lncRNA from 1 species
GCCUGUGGAGUUGACUCGAGUCCCUAGCGAGCCGGCUCGAUUUGCAUCCGAGCCGACUCGAGUUCUACAAGCUAGAAAUAGAAUUUUUAUUCAUCAUGGGGAGUUGGUCGAUCUCUGAUCUGAGCCGACUCACUAUGAUGAGUUGACUCAAACCCAAAGCGAGUCAACUUGAGAGUGAGCAAGAAAUUUUGAAAUUUUGUAUGAGAUGCAAAACUUAAUUAAUUUGGAUUCAAAAAUAUUUUGACAUCUGAAUUAGAUCCAUGAACUUGAUAAGGA